UCCAGGGGCAGCUGAUUUAGGGAUAGACGAGGCCGGUUCCCUGCUCAAACAACGCUGGUUUGUCCAGUCCUGCACGGGCAAAUGAAGAGGGUCAGCAUAACGUCCAUUGUUCCGCUGAAGAGUCUCAGAGCCGUGCCUGCCUCCUCUACAGAAUUCAAGUGUGAGAUGUGGAAAUGCUUUGUCCAUGGCUGAUAGUGACCUCGUGAGGGGCAUGUGAUCUUCAUCAGCUGACAGCAGCCUCCUGAGGGGAGAGAAAAGCUCCAGAGAAUUCUUUGUGAAGCUUCUGCUGAAUCUUGCUGCUGCUGUUGCUGGACCUUGUUGCUGCUUUCACUAUUGCUGCAUUGCUGGUUUGCUGUUUGACUGGGCUGCUGGUAUCCUGAGGACGAAGAGUGGAUUUACCCCAAGGAACUACUUUCUCUCCUGCCUGGUGUUGGAAGGGAUUGGAAUGGAAAAGGGAGGAAGAGACAGACAUAAGGAACCCCAAAUAAAGUGGGUUUUAAAAAGUCAAAGACUACAAAAAUCCAUAUUGGGCCAGAUAGAUGGUUCAGCUGAUAAAAGUGCUUGACUUCAAAGGCCUGAUGUCCCAAGUUAAGUCCCGGAGCCCACUGAGAAGGAGAGAAACACCUCCCUGAAACUGUCCGCUGAUGUCCCCACUGGGCCUGUACUCACACACAUGUAUCAUAUACAUGCACACAUAAGAAUAAAUAAACCAUGCUUACCCACA